rnacentral:rRNA from 1 species
GACGAACGCUGGCGGCGUGCUUAACACAUGCAAGUCGAGCGGAGCGGCGAACGGGUGAGUAACGAGUGAGUAACUGCCCACCUCUCUGGGAUUACGGUUGGAAACGGCCGCUAGUACCGGAUAUUGGGGGAUGACUCGCGUCCUAUAAGCUUGGUGGUGGGGUAGUGGCCUACCAAGGCGACGACGGGUAGCCGGCCUGAGAGGGCGACCGGCCACAUUGGGCUGAGGUACGGCGCAAACUCAGACGGGAGGCAGCAGUGGGGAAGAGUGCACAAUGGGGGAAACCCUGAUGCAGCAACGCGCGUGCGUGAUGACGGCUGUCGGGUUGUAAACCGCUUUCAGCCAUGACGCGGUAGUGGCAGAAGAAGCACCGGCUAACUACGUGCCAGCAGCCGCGGUAAUUC